AGUUGAAGUCCUAAAAAAUAAAUAAACCUGAAGUAGAUUACCGUAUGGGUGACUGAACCACUUUGGGGAGGAAGGAAGGAACAAUAAAGGGAAGAAAAGGAAAGCGAAAGGCGGAAUGUUACGAAAGAAUCAACUUCCUCUUAGGUUUGUGAGGAUACUGGCCCCAUGAAUAUGCAGAAAACAGAAUGAAGAGUAUAUAACAAGCCCUUGUAGAAGCUGAAAGCAUAAUGGUUGUUAUUCUAAAAGAUGACAUGUCAGCAGGUGGUUUUAAAAGGAAGAGGAAAGGCUCAAUCUUUCUCUUGCUUUGUGAAUCUCUUUGUUUUCACUUUCUUCUUGAUCCUGCAUCAAAGAAGUAAUUCUGCCCUUUCAAGCACCGAACUGGGAGAUCAGAUGCAAAGGCAUCCUGGUCAUAGCAAGACAUCCUCAUAAUGGAGUCGCUCUGCAUGAGAAAACCAAGCUUCAGAUCCAGAGAACUUCCAUUUACGCAGACUUUUCAGCCAGACUCUUCGGUUUCACUGGCUGGAUCUACACUGCAGAAUUAAUGCAGUUUGAUACCACUACUUAUCAAUAUUAAGGAAUCCUAGGAGUUGCAGUUUGGUGAUGCACCCUUUGGCAAAGGCGGCUAAUAACUUUGUCAAACAACUCUAACGCUUCCAUAGUAUUGAGCCACGGGAGUUAAAGUGGUUUCAAACUCGGUUACUUCAAUACUGUAGAUGUGUUCCUUGAGUCCUGAGACUUUAGAAGGGAUCUUAAGGGUAGGUAUGUAAUUUUUUUUUAUUGUGUCAGAAGUGACUUGAGAACAUACUGCAAGUCGCUUCUGGUGUGAGAGAAUUAGCCGUCUACAGAGACGUUGCCCAGGGGAUGCCCGGAUAUGAUAGCUGGAAGGCUUCUCGCAUGUGCCCACAAGCUAGAGCUGACAGAUGGGAGCUCGUCUCGCAGAUUCGAACUGGCAAUCUUCAGUUCACAAGCCAACCUUCAGGUCAGCAGUUCAGCUGGCACAAGGGUUUAACCCAUUGCUCCAUAAGGUGAAUAAUAGAAACCCAACAUUUAGAAAUGUUAAUCGAUUUCAUUUGGGAAGCUAGGUUGACCCCUCUCUUUCCUCUUGUCCAAAAGCAAUAGAAGACUUUUCUAUUUAUUCUGCCCUCAUUGCCUGAUGCAAACAUGUUUUAAUUCAGGUGUGUUCACAUUUUUAUCUCCUGACUGGCCUUUUAAAACCAGCACAAUCUGCUGCUUUGCUUUAAUUGAAUCUUGUGUUGCAAAUUGCCUUGUGUCCUGUGCAAGGAAAAAAGGCAGGACAGAACGUAAGGGAAUGCAUCAUCUUUAGGAUUUGACAAAUAAUUUGAAUACAAUAGAUCACUCCGAGGCCUCAUCUAUACUGCUAUUUCUGCUUUGAACUGAAUUAUAUGGCAGUGUAGACCAGGCAUGGGCAAACUUGGGCCCUCCGGGUGUUUUGGAUUGCAACUCCCACAAUUCCUAACAGCCUCAGGCCCUUUCCUUUUCCCCCUCAUCCGCUUCAAUCCAAAAUGCACAUCUUUUCCUCCGCAAGUGACAGGUGUUAGUUACCCAAUUCCUGUGUGCUUGAAACAAUUGUCCUAAAGGCAUCCGCAUAAAGCUACUGCUAUAAAACACAAAGGCUGGCAAUGCAGAACUAGUUGGAAAAUCUGCGUAGGGAGAGAGAGCUGCAAUUGGGAAAAAAGAAUCUUUUUCCAGGCAGCGAUUGAGAGAAAUCAUCUCACAGCUGUGAGCUAAUAGCCGAACAAUUACAACUCAGGUCACAGCUGUUGCAAGGGAGGGGUUUGCCUUCUUUUUCCUUGGCUUGAAAGGCAGCUCAAUAUUGUUGUUUCAAGCAUUAGCAUCCAGCUGCAGCUUUGCAGGUAUCACAGCAUGAUGAAUCCCAUGAGGCUGGUGACAAACGGUUCACCUGGCCUUAUAAGACAGUGUAACAAUUUCUCCUCUUGAUAUAGGGCGCAUCUACAUUGUAGAACAGGCAUGGGCAAACUUUGGCCCUCCAGGUGCUUUGGACUUCAGCUCCCACAAUUCCUAAGAGCUGGCAGAACGAAGGCAGCUUGAUGCCACUUAUACUGCCAUGGCUCAAUGCUAUGUCAUGCUGGGAUCUGCAGUUUGUUAAGGCACCAGUUCUCCUUGGCAGAGAUGGCUAAAGGAUGUCUUUGCAACUACAACUCCCAUGGAUCCUAUGCCAGGGAAACUGUGUUGAUAAUAAUGUAAAUGCCCAACAUCACCAGGACGGACAUCAAGGGCAAAUUGGUGGAAACCAUGCAAAGAUUCCUUUUUGGACUACCAUUCCCAGAACCCCCUGUGAAAAUUUCCAUGGGAAUUUCUACACGUCGAGAAAUGCUUGUUUGUUCCCCAACAUAUUAAAAAAAUUAGAUGAUGAUGAUAACUGGAGAAGCUGACAUGAUAUGAGGAUUUAAAGAUUGAAUUGCAAAGACUCUGGCACAAGCCAGUCAAGGUGGUCCCAGUGGUGAUGUGCACACUGGGUGCAGUGCCUAAAGAUCUUGGUCUGCACUUGAACACAAUUGGCGCUGACAAAAUUACCACCUGUCAGCUGCACAAGGCCACCUUCCUGGGAUUUGCACGCAUUAUUCGCCAAUACAUCACACAGUCCUAGACACUUGGGAAGUGUCCGUCGUGUGAUCCAAUACAACAGCCAGCAGAGUGUCUGCUGUGGACUCAUCUUGUUGUGUUUCGAAUAAUAAUAACAAUAAUAACAAUAAUAACAACAACAACAAUAAUAAUAAUAAUAAUAAUAAUAAUAAUAAUAAUAAUAAUAAUACCAAUACAGGUGGUCCUGGUGGUGAUCGGCACACUGGGUGCUGUGCCAAAAGAUUUCAGCCAGCAUUUGGAAACAAUAGACAUUGACAAAGUUACGAUCUGCCAACUGCAAAAGGGAUCUGUGCGCAUCAUCCAAAAAUACAUCACACUAGUCCUAGGCACUUGGGAAAUGUUCAACUUGUGAUUUUGUGAUACGAAAUCCAGCAUAUCUAUCUUGUUUGCUGUGUCAUACUAUGUCAUUGUGUCAAUAAUAAUAAUAAUAAUAAUAAUAAUAAUAAUAAUAACAACAACAACUUUAUUUUUGUAUCCUGCCUCCAUCAAUAAUAAUAAUAAUAAUAAUAAUAAUAAUAAUAAUAAUAAUAACAACAACAUCAACUUUAUUUUUGUAUCCUGCCUCCAUGGGACUCGGGAAGGCUCACAUGGGGACAAGCCUGAUCAACAUGGAUUAAAAAACAGUCAGCAAAAUUAAAACAUUGUAGCCACAUAAGACAACAUCAACAGCAAUUUAGAACCUGAGCAGUAAUAAUUACUGGAAAUUCAGAGGGUAAGAAUUUGUGCAUAGAACUUUGGGUAGGGCUUAUUUGAUGGUGUCAGUCAGUUAUAAAUCUGGUAGAAGAGCCGUAUCAAUAAAAAACACAUAGUACAAGGGACUAUGAUAAAGUGCAGUAGCUGACAGUGAGAUAUAAUUGGGGCUGAGUAACUAGUGAAACUAUUUACUCAAAGGCACACUGGAACAUUCAUGUUUUUAGGUCUUUACAGAAGGUGGUUUUUUAAAAAAUAUGGUUAUUAUUUUCAGAUGGAAGAUUCAGUCCUAAUGGGUGCAUUGGUGGGAUUUUCGGCAGUCUUGACUACACUCUAUUUGUCAGUAUAUACUUUGGUUUUCAAUGUUGGAUGGUAGGCAACGAGGACCUUCCAAAGAAUGGCAAUAACUAGAUGCUGUUGGCUUGCAACUCUGAUAAUUUCUAUCCAAAAUGCUAAAGGAUUAUGAAAGUUGAAAAUAAAAGCUGUGAAGCCCUUCUCUA